CAUAUAUAUAUAUAUAUAUAUUUACAUAUGCAAGAAUUAAACUAUGCCCAAUAUGAAAACAAUACUUUCCAUUUUUUAUAAAAUAAAUAAAAAAAAAAUUAUUGCUGGAAAAUUAGUGAUGGUGAAUUUUCUAUAAAUAAUGACAUAAAAAAAUUGUUUGGUUUAUAAAUUAAUACAUUCAAUAAUUAAAAUACAUUUUUAAAUAAAAUUAAAUAACAAAAUAGUUACAUCACAUUUUAUUUAUAAAUUAAGAGAUUUUUAAAAUAUAUAUAAAUUAAUAUUUAUAAAUACAUCCGUAAAAAAAAGAAAAAAAAAAAAAAAAAUGGAUAAGUAAAAUGAAACAUAACAGGUUAUGCAAUAAGUUUAUCAUACAAAAUGCAUUUGUAUAUUUAGGAUAUGUUAAAAAAAAAAAAAAUAAAAUGUUCGAAUUAAUUCAUGUAGAAUAAAAAGAAAAAUAUAAAAAUAGCUGUUUUAUUUAAUCAUUUAUAUUACUUUUUACUUUUUACUUUUUCCAUUUUAACAAUUUGUUCUAUCUUUUUGAAACAUAUGAAUUAAUUUUUUAAGGUAUUUUUAAUAAAAACAUUUUAAAAUGAGUAUUUAUUAAAAGUUUAUAUAUAUAUAUAUAUAAAGCAUAGAAAAAAGGUAAUUUUUUUUUUUUUUUUUUUUUAACCAUUCAUGCUAAUGAAAAUUUAUAAAAAGUAAAAAUGCAGAGAGCAUGUGAAAUGGUAGUAUCCUUACUACGAGCUGAUGCUGUGACCCAAAAAUGUCCAUUCCAUGUACUGAAUGUUCAAAUUCUUGAGUUACUACAAAAAGAAGGCCUCAUUAGGGGGUUUGCAAUUAAGGGAACGAAAAUCGAAAUACUACUAAAACAUUAUAAAGGGGCACCAGUUAUAAGGAAUAUACGAGUGGUAUCAAAGCCAAGUAGAGAUAUUUGGUUAACACCACAUGAACUAAAAUUUCGCACUCGUUUCAAUACAGGCCUUUGGGUAAUGCAAACCACAUGUGGUGUAAUCAGUCAUAGGGAUUGUAUACGAAUGGGUAUAGGAGGGAAAAUGUUAUUUGCAGUUAAUAAUGGAUAUCAGCAUUUUUGCUAAUUUCUUUUUAUAUGUUCUUAAAAAGUAAACGUUUAUUAAAUUAUCAGUUAUAAAUCUCCAUGUGUAUAUUUGAAGCACAUAUUUUUAUUUAUAGGUGUUAUAUUUAAAAAAAAAAAAAGAAAAAAAAAAAAUAAUAAUUAUAUAUAUAUAUAUAUACAUUUAAAUAAACGGGAUAGAAGAAAUAUAUAUAAAUAUGAU
rnacentral:lncRNA from 1 species